rnacentral:rRNA from 1 species
UACGUAGGGGGCAAGCGUUGUCCGGAUUUAUUGGGCGUAAAGAGCGUGUAGGCGGCCAUACAGGUCAGCUGUGAAAACUCGAGGCUCAACCUCGAGACGUCGGUUGAAACCGUAUGGCUAGAGUCCGGAAGAGGAGAGUGGAAUUCCCGGUGUAGCGGUGAAAUGCGCAGAUAUCAGGAGGAACACCGAUGGCGAAGGCAGGUCUCUGGGCCACUACUGACGCUGAGAAGCGAAAGCAUGGGGAGCGAACAGG